UACGAAUGGGGCAAGCGUUGUUCGGAAUCACUGGGCUUAAAGCGUAUGCAGGCGGCCAAGCAAGUCAGGAGUGAAAUCCCCGGGCUCAACCCGGGAAUUGCUUUUGAAACUGCUUGGCUAGAAUCCCGGAGAGGUUAGUAGAAUUCCGAGUGUAGAGGUGAAAUUCGCAGAUAUUCGGAGGAAUACCAGUGGCGCAAGCGACUAACUGGACGGGCAUUGACGCUCAGAUACGAAAGCGUGGGUAGCAAACAGG
rnacentral:rRNA from 1 species